AAAUUGAAGAGUUUGAUCAUGGCUCAGAUUGAACGCUGGCGGCAGGCCUAACACAUGCAAGUCGAACGGUAACAGGAAGCAGCUUGCUGCUUUGCUGACGAGUGGCGGACGGGUGAGUAAUGUCUGGGAAACUGCCUGAUGGAGGGGGAUAACUACUGGAAACGGUGGCUAAUACCGCAUAACGUCGCAAGACCAAAGAGGGGGACCUUCGGGCCUCUUGCCAUCAGAUGUGCCCAGAUGGGAUUAGCUUGUUGGUGAGGUAACGGCUCACCAAGGCGACGAUCCCUAGCUGGUCUGAGAGGAUGAGCAGCCACACUGGAACUGAGACACGGUCCAGACUCCUACGGGAGGCAGCAGUGGGGAAUAUUGCACAAUGGGCGCAAGCCUGAUGCAGCCAUGCCGCGUGUAUGAAGAAGGCCUUCGGGUUGUAAAGUACUUUCAGCGGGGAGGAAGGUGUUGUGGUUAAUAACCGCAGCAAUUGACGUUACCCGCAGAAGAAGCACCGGCUAACUCCGUGCCAGCAGCCGCGGUAAUACGGAGGGUGCAAGCGUUAAUCGGAAUUACUGGGCGUAAAGCGCACGCAGGCGGUCUGUCAAGU
rnacentral:rRNA from 1 species